rnacentral:tRNA from 1 species
CCCUUUGUGGCUCAGAUGGUAAAGAACCUGGCUGCAAUGCAGGAGACCCAGGUUCCAUCCCUGCGUGGGGA